AACGAACGCUGGCGGCAUGCCUAACACAUGCAAGUCGAACGAGACCUUCGGGUCUAGUGGCGCACGGGUGCGUAACGCGUGGGAAUAUGCCCUUAGGUACGGAAUAACACAGAGAAAUUUGUGCUAAUACCGUAUGAUGUCUUCGGACCAAAGAUUUAUCGCCUAGGGAUUAGCCCGCGUAGGAUUAGCUUGUUGGUGAGGUAAAGGCUCACCAAGGCGACGAUCCUUAGCUGGUCUGAGAGGAUGAUCAGCCACACUGGGACUGAGACACGGCCCAGACUCCUACGGGAGGCAGCAGUGGGGAAUAUUGGACAAUGGCGAAAGACCUGAUCCAGCAAUGCCGCGUGAGUGAUGAAGGCC
rnacentral:rRNA from 1 species